ensembl:snoRNA SNORD26 Small nucleolar RNA SNORD26
UUACCGGGAUGAUAUAAAAGCUGAACUCUCUCUUUCUGAUGCUGCAGUGGAGAAAAAAGAAAAAUCUCUGAGUAGC